rnacentral:rRNA from 1 species
UACGGGGGGAGCAAGCGUUGUUCGGAUUUACUGGGCGUAAAGGGCUCGUAGGUGGCCAACUAAGUCAGACGUGAAAUCCCUCGGCUUAACCGGGGAACUGCGUCUGAUACUGGAUGGCUUGAGUUCGGGAGAGGGAUGCGGAAUUCCAGGUGUAGCGGUGAAAUGCGUAGAGAUGUGGAGGAACACCAGUGGCGAAGGCGGCUCUUUGGUCUGUAACUGACGCUGAGGCGCGAAAGCGUGGGAGCAAACAGG